AGCUUUGCACAGUAGCAGUAUUGUAGCCAAUGAGGUUUAUCUGAGGCGCCAUUAUUGCUAAUUGAAAACUUUCUUGGGAAACAUUUUAAAUUUCAGUGAUUUAAAAUCCUGUAGCAACAG
rnacentral:snRNA from 1 species